AGUCCUAUAGUGAAGUUCACAUCGGAUUGCAACUCCGGCAAUGAAGGGAGGACCUUCUAGGGCUU
rnacentral:tRNA from 2 species